CCUACGGGAGGCAGCAGUGGGGAAUUUUGGACAAUGGGCGCAAGCCUGAUCCAGCAAUGCCGCGUGCAGGAUGAAGGCCUUCGGGUUGUAAACUGCUUUUGUACGGAACGAAACGGUGAGCUCUAAUACAGUUUGCUAAUGACGGUACCGUAAGAAUAAGCACCGGCUAACUACGUGCCAGCAGCCGCGGUAAUACGUAGGGUGCGAGCGUUAAUCGGAAUUACUGGGCGUAAAGCGUGCGCAGGCGGUGAUGUAAGACAGAUGUGAAAUGCCCGGGCUCAACCUGGGACCUGCAUUUGUGACUGCAUCGCUAGAGUACGGUAGAGGGGGAUGGAAUUCCGCGUGUAGCAGUGAAAUGCGUAGAUAUGCGGAGGAACACCGAUGGCGAAGGCAAUCCCCUGGACCUGUACUGACGCUCAUGCACGAAAGCGUGGGGAGCAAACAGGAUUAGAUACCCUGGUAGUCCACGCCCUAAACGAUGUCAACUGGUUGUUGGGUCUUCACUGACUCAGUAACGAAGCUAACGCGUGAAGUUGACCGCCUGGGGAGUACGGCCGCGAAGGUUGAAACUUAAAUGAAUUGACGGCUUGAGACGNGCGAGGACGACACGAGGGAGAGG
rnacentral:rRNA from 1 species